rnacentral:lncRNA from 1 species
CUUUAAAUUGGUUAUUCUCACGUUAUGUGUUUGUGAUGAAAGGAGAAAUUAAGACAAACUAAUGUUUAGCAAAUUAACUUUACGACUAAAAACAGGAAGUGAUCAGGGUACUGUGAAACAGGAAGUUGGACUCCAUACAAUGGACGAGACGCUGCCCCGACUACGUUGCAGACGCAUGCCAGCUCUUACAACGCCUGGAUAGGAGCGUUCCAGGCUGGAGGGGGGAGACAGAAAGACUGUUUCUAUCACUGCAGGAGUGUUCCAGGCUGGAGGGAGGAGGGGGGAGACAGAAAGACUGUUUCUAUCACUGCAGGAGCGUUCCAGGCUGGAGGUGGGGGGGAGAGACAGAAAGACUGUUUCUAUCACUGCAGGAGUAUUCCAGGCUGGAGGUGGGGGGGAAGGGGAGACAGAAAGACUGUUUCUAUCACUGCAGGAGCGUUCCAGGCUGGAGGUGGGGGGGAGAAAGACUGUUUCUAUCACUGCAGGAGUGUUCCAGGCUGGAGGUGGGGGGAGAAAGACUGUUUCUAUCACUGCAGGAGCGUUCCAGGCUGGAGGUGGGGGGGAAGGAGAGACAGAAAGACUGUUUCUAUCACUGCAGGAGCGUUCCAGGCUGGAGGUGGGGGGGAGAAAGACUGUUUCUAUCACUGCAGGAGUGUUCCAGGCUGGAGGGGGAGACAGAAAGACCGUUUCUAUCACUGCAGGAGUGUUCCAGGCUGGAGGGGGAGAGAGAAAGACUGUUUCUAUCACUGCAGGAGUGUUCUAGGCUGGAGGGGGAGAGAGAAAGACUGUUUCUAUCACUGCAGGAGUGUUCUAGGCUGGAGGGGGAGAGAGAAAGACUGUUUCUAUCACUGCAGGAGUGUUCUAGGCUGGAGGUGGGGGGGAGAAAGACUGUUUCUAUCACUGCAGGAGUGUUCCAUGCUGGAGGGGGGAGGGAGGAGGGGGGAGGGAGAAAGACUGAGUAAAUAAGAAUAGUUUACAGUGGAUUAAACACAAAAUUAGGUCAUUUCUAUAAAUUAUAAUCUGUUAUUUACCUACAAUAAUCCUGGAUUCAAGUAAAACUGGCUUUGACUCUAUUUACUAGGGAUGGGCGUGAGUAGUCGAUUCAAGAUUAACAUUCGAUUUCUUAUAUACAAGCUCUCAAAAUGUACGUUUAGUUAUUAAGCAGGUUCAAAUUAUAAGCACGGAGAAAUCUGAUGUGUUUAUGUGGAGAAGGAAGGUCAAGAGCUGUGAAAAUAUGACAGUGGUUGGAACAUCGGAUCAUUUUAGUUGUUGUUGCCUUCAGAACCCCUUUUCACAUUGUUGAGUACUCUAAAUUAUUUUCAUGAGUACUCACACAGACAUUCUUUCAAAUGUAUAUACUUACUAUUUACUACCGAGGUAUGUGACUGAUGCAGUAUAUUGAAAACAAAAAAAAAACACACAUUAUUUAUGUACAUGUAAUUAAAUAAUUAUUCAUGUGCAUGUGAUUAAUUUAUUUAUAUAUUUGCAAAUGCAUUGAAAAGUUUAUAGUGAUGGCAGACAAAGGCAACAGAUGUAUAUUGCUGCAUUGAGACUGAAAUGUUUCUGACCGAGGGGAUGAACACUAUUAUUUAUUGUGCUUCGGGUUAUUAGAUGUUUUGUAUUUAAAAAAAGGACAGGUGACUCCUUCCGUUUCUCAGAAGCUGAAGAUUAUUGUGAUGCAGGGGGGAAGAUAUCGACUUGGGCAAAGAGUUCAGCAGGAAACGUCAUCCUGACCAGAGAGGAGUUUGACCUGAGGACAGCUGCUCAGUGUGUGAAGAGACAGGAGAAGUUUAUUUAUUUAAAUUAUUUAUUUAAUCUUUAUUUAACGAGGCGAGUCAGUUAAGAACAAAUUAUUAUUUUCAAUGACGGCCUAGGAACAGUGGGUUAUAACUGCCUGUUCAGGGGCAGAACGACAGAUUUGUACCUUGUCAGCUCGGGGGUUUGAACUUGCAACCUUUACUAAUCCAACACUCUAACCACUAGGCUACCCUGCCACCUCUACACUCUAACCACUAGGCUACCCUGCCACCUCUACACUCUAACCACUAGGCUACCCUGCCGCCUCUACACUCUAACCACUAGGCUACCCUGCCACCUCUACACUCUAACCACUAGGCUACCCUGCCGCCUCUACACUCUAACCACUAGGCUACCCUGCCGCCUCUACACUCUAACCACUAGGCUACCCUGCCGCCUCUACACUCUAACCACUAGGCUACCCUGCCACCUCUACACUCUAACCACUAGGCUACCCUGCCGCCUCUACACUCUAACCACUAGGCUACCCUGCCGCCUCUACACUCUAACCACUAGGCUACCCUGCAGGGAGACACUCCAGGCUGGUGGAAAAUAAUCUUCCUGUACUGUUACACUGCUGAGAUGGUUCAACAGGACAUGGUGCUCAGUGUGUCUCUGUGUCCCCCAGGACCCCACACUCUCCUGGUCAUACAAGUGGAUGAAUCAUUCACGAAGAUACUCUUUCUCUAUUGAUGUUCUGUGUAAGAGAGUCUGGAGUCACUUGUGGGGAUUGUCGGGGAAACAAACCACUGAGCAGCACAUUGAGAAUGAAGGGAAUGCCCUCCAGUGAAUUGUUGAGAAAUGUGAGAACAGGUAUCAUGUCUUCAACAAUAGGAACAGAGGUGAUGGUACUCAGGUCACAGAACUGCUGGAGAAGAUAGAGGACUUGGUGGGAGGAAACAGAGGAGGACAUUAUGAGAUCAAGACAUAACAGAGGACAUAGGGGCAGGAAACAGAGGAGGACAUUAUGAGAUAAAGACAUAACAGAGGACAUAGGGGCAGGAAACAGAGGAGGACAUUAUGAGAUAAAGACAUAACAGAGGACAUAGGGGCAGGAAACAGAGGAGGACAUUAUGAGAUAAAGACAUAACAGAGGACAUAGGGGCAGGAAACAGAGGAGGACAUUAUGAGAUAAAGACAUAACAGAGGACAUAGGGGCAGGAAACAGAGGAGGACAUUAUGAGAUAAAGACAUAACAGAGGACAUAGGGGCAGGAAACAGAGGAGGGCAUUAUGAGAUAAAGACAUAACAGAGGACUUGGUGGGAGGAAACAGAGGAGGACAUUAUGAGAUAAAGACAUAACAGAGGACAUAGGGGCAGGAAACAGAGGAGGACAUUAUGAGAAAAAGAAAUAACAGAGGACACAGGGGCAGGAAACAGGAGGACAUUAUGAGAUAAAGACAUAACAGAGGACAUAGGGGCAGGAAACAGAGGAGGACAUUAUGAGAUAAAGACAUAACAGAGGACAUAGGGGCAGGAAACAGAGGAGGACAUUAUGAGAUAAAGACAUAACAUAGAGGUAGG